rnacentral:lncRNA from 1 species
AAUUGAAUAAUUUUUGGGUUAAAGUUCAUCUGAAACUUGUAUCUAUAUUUAUACUUUAAGGCAACGUUUGGUUUGGGUAUAAGCAAGAAUUAGCUAUUAUAGGGAUAAGUACAAAUAUUGGAAUAAGAAAAAUAGCAUUUGGAUGAAAAUUGAGUUGUUUCAGGGGAUAAGAAAAAUAACGUUUGGAUAGAUAAUAAGAAAUAAGAAAAAUAGUGGAUAGUUAUAUAUAGAAAAUGGAGGUGUUGGUAGGGAUGAUUAUACCCGGUUAUUAUAAGUAACCGAGAACUACUAUUCUCGGAUAAAAAAUUAGCGUUUGGAUAUAAAGAGGGGGAUAAGGGGUUAUUCCACCUCUUAUCCCCAUGCCAAACGCUGCCUAAUAAAUUUGGAGUUGGCUUUAAAUGAAAGUUCGAUUCAGCCUAAAUUUAUUAAUACUUAGUAAAGUUAAUAAAAUUAGUUAGUUAGAAAGUUCUUAAAAAAAUAUCUAAAUAUCGAUAGAAAAUACUAACUUGUGUAUGCUAUAGU